GUGGGGAAUUUUGGACAAUGGGCGCAAGCCUGAUCUAGCCAUGCCGCGUGAGUGAUGAAGGCCCUAGGGUUGUAAAGCUCUUUCAGCUGGGAAGAUAAUGACGGUACCAGCAGAAGAAGCCCCGGCUAACUCCGUGCCAGCAGCCGCGGUAAUACGGAGGGGGCUAGCGUUGUUCGGAAUUACUGGGCGUAAAGCGCGCGUAGGCGGACUGAAAAGUUGGGGGUGAAAUCCCGGGGCUCAACCUCGGAACUGCCUUCAAAACUAUCAGUCUGGAGUUCGAGAGGGGUGAGUGGAAUUCCGAGUGUAGAGGUGAAAUUCGUAGAUAUUCGGAGGAACACCAGUGGCGAAGGCGGCUCACUGGCUCGAUACUGACGCUGAGGUGCGAAAGCGUGGGGAGCAAACAGGAUUAGAAACCCGGGUAGUCC
rnacentral:rRNA from 1 species